AGGAAGGUAAUCAGGAGGAGCCGAAGAGUUUCAAAUCCUGCACAAUGAGCCUCAUACACAAGCUGAAGAGCACGCAGUGUCAUCUGCAUUGAAGUAUCAGCACCUUGACUCUGCCUUGGCACACAGGCUACUCUGAAACUGGAGAUACUAUGAAAAUGAGGAGACCUAAAUCUGCACAGGAGGUGGAGUAAACCAUGGGAAAGAGAGAGGCUGAGAGUGACAAGCUUAUGCUCUCCUGCUGAAAGAUGGAGUCCACGCUGGAGUGAGAGCUUUGUGGUGGGGCAGCCCCAGGAGAUGUGGCUGGCACCCACCCCUUCCUGACCCUGCUUUGGCACACUGCCCUGCUCCUCACCUCCUCCACGCCGCUGCCUGCAGUGCCCAUCGUAUGCCCAGUGGCCGGGGGGCAAGCUUUGCCACACUCCAGCCCUGCAAGCCUCCAGACUUACUGCCGUGUGUGAUCUCUGCUACCAGCCAAGGUAAAUUUACAAACCCACAAACCUCAGUUGGGAUUUUGCAUGCCCUGAUGCUUGCUUUCACACCUCUCUGGUCUCAUUGGCAGUGGCUGCGCAUCGAGGUGCACAGGAUUUCUCCUCUUGGGAACACAGCCAAGAAAAUGUCAACUAGCAAGUACAGAGAAGCAGCAAAAGACUGUGCUUUUCAAGACAGAAGUCAGUGAGUUGGACACUGCCAAGUCUGAACCCUGUACCAAGCACACACAGAAAAAUUUGACCCAACUGCCAGCAAACUAAGAUUCCUUUGGUGUGUUCUGCUGAGAUUCCAUUACUGCCUUUAUCAUUAAGAAAAUAAUGUAAUAAAAUGAGACCUUUUCCCUGAAUGCAUUAAUAAAGAUAACUUGUUGGUCAAGCUCCAAAACCACUGGAGCCACAUUUAAUUUACUGCUUUUAUGGAUUUAGGAUUUGGUUUGCUGCUAUGUUCAGUCCACUGCAACAAUAUAAUGGGAAAUUGUAAUGGCAUGUUUAAAAGAAAGGGUUCAUAAUCUAUCACUGAAGCUUUAAAA